UCAAUAUAUCUGCUAUCCAUAGGAAUUUCAAGCUGACUCGUAAGUGUCUGGUUACUCCCUAACCUUAUAUGUUUCCUGAUUAUCAAUCAGUUCUGAGAUUUGGCCAUUUCCUC